AAGGUAUAUGACAGGAGAGGUUAGCACUCCCUUGACAAGGAUGGAAGGGGCCCUUGGGCCUGACAACAUGCACAUGGUGAAGACAUUGCCGCCUACUUCAUGGCAUCUAACCAUGGUUAAAA
rnacentral:ncRNA from 1 species